CAGGAGACCACUGACUACGGGCGUCCCAUCGCGGUGUCUCUGGAGACGGGGCUGAGCAGCCCAGACGAGGGGCCGGUGUUGGACCCCGACUGGUCCAGCGUCCUGAGGACUGAGCUUCCCUUCUGGAACGGCUGUGAGCAGGAGGACACCUGCGUCCCCGACCUCGUCCUCCACAGCCACACCGACCUGCUGGAUGUUGAGACGUUCUGCAGCCGGAGGGACGGAGCCGCCUGGUCGCUCUGCUGGCGCCGGCCGGCCGACGCCUCGCUGCACGUGGUGGAGACCGGGCGGAGGAGGCUGGUGGUGUCUGCUCGCCUGGAGAAUCAGGGAGAGAACGCCUACGGCACCACCAUCAACAUCUCCACCUCCUCCAACCUGCUCUUCUCCAGCCUCAUCAUCAAGGUGCAUUCAAA